AGAAAGUAGAAUUCCUUCCUAAUUAUUGCAAAAACAAACUUCCUUACGAUUUUUUUUUUUUUGUCUAGCAGAUUGAUAAGAGAAAGAACAUAGUGCCUCAGGAACAACUGGAUGCCAUUGCACUUUAAGAGAAACAAAACAGGAAACCCACCAAGAAAACCAGUCUUGAUUUUCUCGUGCAAACUGAGAGACAGGAGAAACGUGUUUAGAUAGAAAUCAGAUCCUGGCACACAACAUUCUAAGUCUGAGACUAAAGCAUUCUCCUUCAUCCUCCUGCUUUUUGGAACAAUCAAAAGUAGCGACUCUGAGGUUCCAUGGCAAUCGUGAGUUUCCCGUGAAGAAGCUCCUCUCUCCCAUCCUUGACUCACAGAACCACAGACCUUCAGAAUCCCGCUCCCGUUAUUUCAGUUCACAGUGUAACUAGAGACACAGAAUACCUCUUCCCAACCCGAAGAUGCUAAGGAGAGAAGACUGGCACUUUUUGAAAGAAGCUUAACUGAAGCCUUAUAAGGAAUAAAUUCAAAUCUCUGGCCA
rnacentral:lncRNA from 1 species